rnacentral:lncRNA from 1 species
AGAAUAGUAACGAGUAUCUGUCUCCUCACACAAGUUCAUAUUCUUCUCAGCAAACCUUACUGGAGGAGACCACAAUCUGCCCUAGGACCUAUGAACGCAGUGCUGCAAAAAUGAGAUGAUCAAAUUUACAGAAGACAAACAACACAAUGUAGUGAUGCAGAGCAGAGAAAUCUGACAGCUGCAGCAGGAGGAAAUAAGUCAUAACUAAGGGAUCAAGGAAGGAAGCAAAAUAAUGCUAAGGUUUAUGGAGAGUAAAACAAGUCAAAAGUCUUGUGAGCAGCUCUUUUCUGAACAAAUAAUUGGAUUCUUUUGACUUUU